rnacentral:tRNA from 1 species
UGUAGCUCAGUGGUAGAGUGCUUGCCUAGAAUGUGUGAGGUCCUGGGUUUGAUUCCCAGCA